GCAACUGUUACUCCUGCACAACCCAAACAACACACAUUAACAAUAGGCAAUUAUCGACUCCAUCUCACAUUAGCAUAGCACCAUACUUAAAAGAAAAGCGAGACGUUAUUGAAAAGGGACUAGUGUAGUGGGGCCUAUCUAUGUCCCCACUGCCUCUGCUCUGACGAACCCCAGAAGUGCCACAUACGACAACGUCACACCCUCCUCACUCUACUCUAGUACGUACCUACUCUCUCAACUCUCUCUCUCUCUCUCUCUCUCUCUUGCCUUUUCCCUGAAAUUACCCCUUCUCUGCUCUUCUCUUCUCUUCUCUCCAACCAUGCAAGCAAUCAACAAGGAGUAGCUCAAAAUAUUGAUUUAGAUGGUCGUCAUCGGAGUUGCAACACAAUCCCCUCCCCGACCUCUAUUCCCAUGCUCUUUCUCCUCCUUCUCAUUCUCUUCCUCCUCCUCCACCUGCACAACACCCUAAACCCUCAUCAUCAUCAUCUUCCACUUCUUCCUCCGCCUCUCACAGUUUCACUCGGUGGCGUUUCCCACUUGACAUCUCCCCGCCCACCCCAACCCCACGCCCCCGUCUCCUCCCUCUGCUAACCUUCUCGAACUCUUCCACGCCGCCGAGUUGCAACUCAGUUCCGGCUCCCACUCCGACCGUCCC
rnacentral:lncRNA from 1 species